AUGGGGAUUAUGACUGGAUUGAGAAAUAUUUUAGGACACUUCCAGACUGGUUUAGAACUUCGGGAGGUUCAGGUUCAUUUGUACACAAGCACAGGAGGACACCAGCCCCAUGCGAAGCCCAGGGGUCAUACUCGUUCUUCUGUAGAAGAUUAUCUGCAUAAUUUUGUGACACCUGAACUGUGUGUAUUCCUUCAGGUAGACAUUCCUGAAAUCUCUACUUGGGCUAAUGGCCUUUCCUCUGAGUUCCCUUCUGCUGUCAUGAUCAACACAGUGAGUGGAAUAGGAGGAUCUCAAUAUCUAGUUGUCUUCACUUGGAAAAAAUCAUACUCGUCUCAGACCAUUGUCUUCCAUAACUCCAUCUGGUUUUUGGAAGUGAAUCAUGUAGACCGCUCAUUCUUCUUUAAUCCUCUCACAUCUUGUUGCAGUAAACAAAUCCCUGCUAAAUGUUAAUUCAGGCUCUCCUCCUUCAUCCUGGAAAUGGAAUCAAGAGAAAAGAAACUGCCCUCGACUGCAUUUUUAUUUGGAAGACUUAUUUCUUUUCCUAAAGACUUUUAUUUGGAAGACUUAUUUCUUAUCCCAAUUCCCUCGUUUCUCCCCACUUCUUUCAGAUACAUUUUCCAUGUGUAAAGUCUCCAGCCUGGACCAAUAUCACCACUCAUCUAUGGUUUCCAAAACUCUAGCUACCACCAGCAAAGAGCCCCAAGUGCCACAGACACUGUAACUUACCUGCUGGUAAACUGUUCCCUGGAUGUUGGUAUAUACAUUUCUUACCUCUCCAGUUAGAGUGUAAAUUCCUUUAGCUCAAGAAUGAGUCUGCUCUAUGAUUGUCAAAUACCAUACCCGGUGGGUGAUAAAAUCCAUUUAGGAAGUUGUGACCGACACUAAAAAUAAAUCAAAUAUAAGCAAAAAGAAGAUAGAUAUC
rnacentral:lncRNA from 1 species